UCCAACUCGUGCCUCAGAGGAAAUACACUGACAACUUCAAAACUUGGAUCUUCCAAACUAUUAUGUCAGCUAGCUAUGGAAGCAGUAACUGAUACAAAGCAUCACAGAGACCGGACUUAAGUUAGCGGAGGCACACACAUCUGGAAAAUGUUCAUUAAGUAUUUACAAGCGACGCAAAUCAGCUAAUGAGCUUGAGCCAACAAUACUGUGACCAUUAUCUCUCUUCUCUGUUAAGUACAACCAUCUGGCGGCACCCAGAGGGCUUUCAGCAUCCUGCGGCUUACAUGCAUAUCACUAUGAUUAAAGGAAACCUAAGGCAAAGUUCCAAGGGCCAAUUUUCCAUGGGGCAAGGAGAGAACCUUCCAAGGGAUUUGGCAGAAGUAUGAGUGUAUGGCCACUGUGUGAAGACUGGUCUUCUUUAUGUGCCUACUAUAUGGGAGCAACUACCACCAAAGAGGAACUUUUUGCAAAGAACUGAUCUGUGCAUUUAUUAAUCUGUGGGACAGAUACUUUCAAGGAUUUUCCUUUUAGGGAUUAGACAGCGUUUUGGUAUGAAUUUAGAGUAUAAUAUAUCAUGCUUUGUUUGAUACAUUAAGUCAGUAUUCUUAUUACCGCAAUUAGUUCGAUUGAACGAUCAAACGAUUUUUCUUCGACUAAAAAAAGCUAAGCAAGCCUAGUUAAGCAAGCCUAUGGGGACCUUCCCCCUGCAUGUUCACCUGGGCGACCUAUGUACCUCAGCAUGUGCGAUUGGAUUCUCUCCAUGCAUCAUUUUCUGUGUUUGGCCUUAGUGUUCUCAUUGCAGGAGGAAUGCCCACUUUAUUUUGCUCUUUCUAUAUAAAGUUUAUCUUUGCUACAAAUCUCUGUGUAUUUCAUUUCCUAAUGGGACCCCGAAGGUACCCAAUAGGCGGAGGCACUGCACUGCAAAAUCCCAGUUCCAUUGCUAUGGGAAGAGUAUGUCCCGUAGGAUUGUGUGUAUGCAACAGAAUAUUAACUGAAUACAUUUUGCAGCAAAAAGAUAUACUCCUUGUGAUGCAAAUUGUGCUGACAGAAAAAAAAUUAGUUUUCCGUUACACAAAACGUGACUGUUAAACAUUGACAUGGGCAACAUCUUCUGUUGAUUAGUUUCAAAUCUGCGUCCCCCCUCCAUCUGCCAUUCUCUCUCAGCCUAAAAUAUCUUUUGGAUAUCUUUUAUACCCCCAUGUGUUUUUUUUAUGCCAAAAAACAGGUUCUGGUAAUUUAAUAGUGUGCUUGUAAAAUGAAAAUAUUAUUCAAAUGUUAUGGCAGAUAUAACAUAUAAUAAUGCUGCUUUAAUUGUUCCUUUUGUUAAACUGUGCUUUAUUGUAACCAUCAUUUAAAAUAAAGAUUGUGCUCCUUCUGAUGCUGCGGGAAAUGUCAGUAAAGGGAUGAUUUGCCAUUUCUUCCAGCAAAACACGAAAGCCAAGUGCAGAUAAGCAUUGUGGCUGCAGCCCCAGCUCCGGUACUGUAGUAGGCCCAGCCAAGUCUGCAAGUUCCUACAGGGACACAGAAACAGAGUCAUUAUACAUCUGACCUGCUACGUGCUAACUGCCAGCUUUUAUAGCAGAGCCAGUUGCGUAGCUAUAAUACAGCAGACCCGCAGUCACAGGAGAGCCCAGUUGUGGGGUCUGCUAAAGUGUAAUCCCCCUGAACGCUGCAGAAAAUAUCAAUCCCUUCAUGGGCGGAGCUUGCGAUUUCCGAUCUGGGCUGGGGGGGUAGAGGGUGAUGUGUAUGCAUGCAGCCAGACCCCUGAAGAUUUUUUGCUGGGGAACCCUGUUGGCCAUAGUUACGCCACUACUGGAUGCCCCAGAAGAUCCUCAUGAUGGACACAAUUGGCCUAAAAUGUAAAAAUUUGGGGCUGCUAAGGAAUUUAUCGUUGAACCUCAUCUAUCAUAGGCUGCUCUAAUUCAGAGGACUUAUCCUGGGACACAGUCUGCUUAUGGAAUGUAUUGCCUUGUAGAAUCAAUUUCAAACUUAAAGGGGACAUUUACUUUCCAUAGCAAUGUUGCACUUCCAAUAUGCUGCUAGGAUUAAGUCUCAACAUUUUCUAGCGUGGAUCCUCUAAUGAGAAUUCUGUACACUUGACCCUCCUAUCUUGUGUAACGGUCGGCACCCAACACCCCUAAGGAGCGGCGACAGCGCAGGAAGAGGAACGGCGUGGCGGGCGUCCCCGUCUCACCCCUAGACCACCAGGGAGACAAAGGCAAUUCCAACAAGCAGAGACAAAUGAGCAUGCACAGAAUGAAUCUUACUUGCAACUGAAUGUUCUUAGUCCAGCAGCAGAAUAUUUAUCAGAUCAGAUCAAAGGAAUGUCUCCUACAUGUAUUCAGAAUCCCUCAACUAAUAUCAGCUAAGGCUUUUUCAUAUACCUUGGACAGAGAAGGUGGAGUAUAUCAGGAUCCAGUCAAUAGCUGGGAGAAGUGACUGACAGCUUUUACAAAAUCACUCCAGGGAAUCUGCCCUGCCCAACACAUACUCUACCGUGCAAGCAAAAUGGGCGGCCAGUAUGGAUAAUGCUAAUGCAGAGAAAUAAAGGAGUUCACAUGGGUACAAACUGGCAGCAACAAAAUAUUUUCUCCAAAUCUGAAUAUGUCUCUAUUAGUUUAAAUGAAAGGAAAAUUAAAUUAAGACUUGUUUGCUAUAAAAGGGAUUAAAAUAUGUAUUAUUAUUAA